ACAACAUGAAUUUCAUAUAAAAGAUCAAUUUUUUUUCUACAACCGAAGUGUCAGAUUUACAAUGGCUUGAAAUGAAUUACGAUUACAAAGGAGACGGAUUUCCAAAAGUAGAAAUAUACGACAAGUUUUCUAAUUUGGAAAAAUGCGGAAAAGCAGGGCGUUACACCAACAUACCCAACAAAUCCUACAGCUCUUCGGUCUCAAUAGGAGACAACAAUAGAUUCCAGCCACAUACUUCAGACGGCAAAGAGUCCGGUUCAUCUAGCGGACAAGUCGAGGGGAAUUCACGAGGAAAGGGCGCGCUCUAAAGUUCUCAGGUACCAAGUAAAGGAUGAAGAUCAAGCAAGCGAGUCGAACCGAACACACACAUUUUUUAGAACGCUUCCGCAUCCAAACUUUGUGUUAGAAACUAUGUAAAUUAAUGGUAGUUACUGUCUUGAAUGUGGUUUGUAACAACAAUACACGUAGGUUGUGUUAAUUUUGGGUUUAAACUAUGAAAGUUUUUGUAAAGUCAUCAU